rnacentral:rRNA from 1 species
GGGGCCCGCACAAGCGGCGGAGCAUGCGGAUUAAUUCUAUGCAACGCGAAGAACCUUACCAAGGCUUGACAUGUGCCGGAAAAGUGCAGAGAUGUGCUCCCCGCAAGGUCGGUACACAGGUGGUGCAUGGUUGUCGUCAGCUCGUGUCGUGAGAUGUUGGGUUAAGUCCCGCAACGAGCGCAACCCUCGUUCUAUGUUGCCAGCACGUGAUGGUGGGGACUCAUAGGAGACUGCCGGGGUCAACUCGGAGGAAGGUGGGGAUGACGUCAAGUCAUCAUGCCCCUUAUGUCCAGGGCUACACACGUGCUACAUUGGCCGAUACAGAGGGCUGCAAACCCGUGAGGGGGAGCGAAUCCCAAAAAGUCGGUCCCGGUUCGGAUUGGAGGCUGAAACUCGCCUCCAUGAAGGCGGAGUUGCUAGUAAUCGCGGACCAGCAACGCCGCGGUGAAUAUGUUCCCGGGCCUUGUACACACCGCCCGUCACACCACGGGAGUGAGCAACACCCGAAGCCGGUGGCCUAACCCGCAAGGGAGGGAGCCGUCGAAGGUGGGGCUCGUGACUGGGGUGAAGUCGUAACAAGGUAACCGUAAGGGC